CGAACAUAGUCGCGUGGAGUAAACCCGAAGCCGGGUGAUCUAUCCAUGUGCAGGGUGAAGCGAAGGUAACACUUCGUGGAGGCCCGAACGAGUUGACGUUGAAAAGUCAUUCGAUGAUGUGUGGAUAGGGGUGAAAGGCCAACCAAACCCGGCGAUAGCUGGUUCUCCUCGAAAUAUAUUUAGGUAUAGCCUCGUACGGUAGCGUGUGGGGGUAGGACACUGGAUGGGCUAGGGCCCUUGACCGGGUACCAAACCCUACCAAUUUACGAAUACUACACGUGGAACUACGGGAGUCAGACUGCGGGAGAUAAGUUCCGUAGUCGAGAGGGAAACAGCCCAGAUCAUCAGCUAAGGUCCCAAAGUACAGGUUAAGUGGCAAAGGUUGUGAAUUUGCAUAAACAGCCAGGAGGUUGGCUUAGAAGCAGCCAUUCCUUUAAAGAAAGCGUAAUAGCUCACUGGUCGAGUGGAUUUGCGUCGAAAAUUUAACGGGGCUAAAACCUGUCACCGAAGCUAUGGAUUCAUCAUUUAUUUGAUGAGUGGUAGAGGAGCGUUCUAUGCGGGAUGAAGGUCGAGCGUAAGCACGGCUGGACUGCAUGGAAGUGAGUAUGGCGGCAUGAGUAACGAUAAAGCGGGUGAGAAACCCGCUCGCCGUAAGCCCAAGGUUUCCUGGGGAAGGGUAAUCCUCCCAGGGUUAGUCGGCCCCUAAGGCGAGGCCGAAAGGCGUAGUCGAUGGGAAGCUGGUUAAUAUUCCAGCACUGUCUGUAAUUCGUUUGUACGAUGGGGUGACGCGGAAAGGUAAGCCAUCCAGGCGCUGGUUGUCCUGGUUCUUGGCCGUAGGACGCGACUUUGGCAAAUCCGGGUCGCUGGGUUAGAUUCCAUGUCUGAGGGUUGAGUGGCGCGAAUUCUACGGAUGACGCGUAACUGGCUGAUCCUAUACCGCCAGGAAAAACCUCUAAGGAGAGUUGCAGAUAACCGUACCCGAAACCAACACAGGUGGGCGAGGAGAGUAUCCUAAGGCGCUUGAGAGAACCCAGAUUAAGGAACUCAGCAAAUUUGCUCCGUAACUUCGGGAUAAGGAGUGCCCUUGAUGGUGAAGCGGCUUGCCCGUGGAGCUGUUGGGGGUUGCAGUGAAAAGGGGGCUGCGACUGUUUACUAAAAACACAGGUCUCUGCUAAGUCGUAAGACGAUGUAUAGGGACUGACGCCUGCCCGGUGCCGGAAGGUUAAAAGGCGUUGUCAGGCUUCGGCCAAAGCAACAAAUUGAAGCCCCGGUAAACGGCGGCCGUAACUAUAACGGUCCUAAGGUAGCGAAAUUCCUUGUCGGGUAAGUUCCGACCUGCACGAAUGGCGUAACGCUGGCCCUACUGUCUCGAUCUGGGACUCAGUGAAAUUGAUCUUCCGGUGAAAACGCCGGAUACCCGCGGAAGGACGGAAAGACCCCGUGCACCUUUACUAUAACCUGACAUUGGAUUCGGGUUUAUGAUGUGUAGGAUAGGUGGGAGGCUUUGAAGCGGGCUCGCUAGAGUUCGUGGAGCCAUCCUUGAAAUACCACCCUUCGUACGCUUGGUUUCUAACCUAGGUCCAUGAAUCUGGAUCAGGGACAUUGUCAGGCGGGUAGUUUGACUGGGGCGGUCGCCUCCUAAACUGUAACGGAGGCGCGCGAAGGUUCUCUCAGACUGAUUGGAAACCAGUCGUUGAGUGUAAAGGCAAAAGAGAGCUUGACUGCGAGACUUACAAGUCGAGCAGGUGGGAAACCAGGUCUUAGUGAUCCGGUGGUUCUGUAUGGAAGGGCCAUCGCUCAUCGGAUAAAAGGUACGCCGGGGAUAACAGGCUGAUCGCGCCCAAGAGUCCAUAUCGACGGCGCGGUUUGGCACCUCGAUGUCGACUCAUCGCAUCCUGGGGCUGUAGCAGGUCCCAAGGGUUGGUCUGUUCGCCCAUUAAAGCGGUACGUGAGUUGGGUUUAAAACGUCGUGAGACAGUUUGGUCCCUAUCCUCCGUGGGCAUUGGAUAUUUGAGGAGAUCUGUUCCUAGUACGAGAGGACCGGAAUGGACGAACCUCUAGUGUUCCGGUUGUCGCGCCAGCGGCAUCGCCGGGUAGCUACGUUCGGAACGGAUAACCGCUGAAAGCAUCUAAGCGGGAAGCCGACUCCAAGAUAAGAUAUCCCUGAAGACCCCUCGAAGACUACGAGGUUGAUAGGCCGGGUGUGGAAGCGCAGCAAUGUGUGAAGCUAACCGGUACUAAUUGGUCGUUCGGCUUGACCUU
rnacentral:rRNA from 1 species